rnacentral:lncRNA from 1 species
GGUAACUGAUGAUGGGAGCUCAAGUAGGAUUUAAGGAGCCCUUCAGAGAUGGUAGGAAUCAAGAUAGGUGGCCUUUCUUGUCCUGGGUUUGUAUUGUCAUCCUGAUUUCAACCAUAGAUUUUUGGUUUCUCCUUGCUUUUGGAUUUUUUUUUUCCCUCAAGGGCCCCAGCUUUUAGGGAUUACAUUUUAUAUUUUACAUACCAUUUAGCUUGCCCUGUGUCUGUAAAGGCAGGAUAUUUGAAUAUCUGAGGUUCAGAUUAGAUUGAAUUUCACAGUUUGGUUGAAUAUUGGAGUUUCUCUGUUUGCUUUGUUGUUUCUUGGUUUUAUUUCAUUUUAAGUUUAAGAUCUGUUGUUUCUUUGGAGGAGAACAAGGUGUGCUAGCAGUUACAGCAGCCAACUGGGUUGGCUUGAGAGGAGAUGGCCUGAAAAGCAGAGGUAGCCUCACAGGUCAAGGUGCCUUGACCUGUGGGUUCAAGGGAUGUUGGUUAUUUUCUUAAAAGCAAACCAACCAACCAAAAACCACAAUUCAGACUGUUCUGCAGCAGUCAGUCUUCCUGUGGUUCUUAUAGGCUAGCUUAAAUCUUGGGUAGAGAGAUGCUUAUCACAUGUGCUAUAUAUAUUUCUUUUUCCAGAUGGAUAGCAAGAAUAUUUGAAAUAAGUCCAUUUGAGCCCUGGACAACAAGGGAUAAAGUGGAGCGGAUUCACAUCACAGACAUGAAAUUUCCUAACCUGCCCGGCUUGGAAGACCUUGGUAUCGAGCCAACACCACUGGAACUCAAGGCCAUUGAGGUGCUGCGGCUUCAUCGCACUUACCGCUGGCUGACUGCUGAAAUUGAGGAUGCGAAGCCGGCCAAGACCGUCAACUUUUAGUGCCCCUCAAGCAGCUCUUGGUUUUGAUGUCUUUUGGGUCAGCCAAUGUGGUUUGAGCACCCAGCCAGGUGGUCUCUUUAGAGCAUCCUGUACACAGUGAAUAAGGUCGUACUAUUAAAACAUUUGAGGUUGAAUUCUGCGAUAUUUUCUUUCUUGAUAUAUAAAAUGAGAAAUGCAGUCAUUUCGAACUUGAGCAUAAUUUUUGUUAAACAUACAUAUUUAAUAAUGACAUAUAUAUUAUUUAUUCUCUGAAAUGCCAGAGAGCUUGAAUUUUCCUUUGACAAGCCACUUCUAGCAUAUGUUCUGGAAGACAAGGAUCCUUUUUAAUGUUAAAAUAUCGUAAAGACCCCAAGUGAUAUGUGAUUGUUUUUAAAUCUCCAUUAAAUUAGAGAAUAUACAAUAUCCUUUAACCCGAAUGUGUUUACACUUAAGGUGUUUUAAAAAUUUUUUUUAAUAAUGUCCAUAUACCUUCUAAAAAUAGUAGUACAUAUAUAGAAAAACAUUGUCUGUAGGUUCUCAAAGCCCUUGCUGUAAUUCUACAGUCUUCUUGGAUCUGAGCUCUCUGAGGCUAGCCCAAAGCCCUUAGUACCGCAUCUGGAUUCUUUCGGACAUACAGGUGUGGACAGAUUCUCUUCCCAUGCAAAGCAGUUGCUUCAGCCUCUAUGCCAGUACUACCGGCACUUAGGAAUUAGGACUUUCUAAUUAAGUUCUUAAAAUUGCAGCCAAGAUCCAGAUGAACGGUUGGUUUAGUGUUGGCAAAUCCCCACAGUACAGUAUGAUUUAAAACUCCGAGAAUUUGUGGUGAAGCCAAUAUGUGAUCCCAGGGUUGGUCACUGAGUUUCACUGGAUUUCAGCCUUUUGAUCUAUGUUUGGGACAGGAAUGUCAGUAAAAACCCAGUUUGAUUUUGGUAAUGCCCAUCUCCUCCUUAUAGAGAAAGGUAUAUCAGUGUUGAAGGUAAGUUCUCCACCUGCCCUUUUUGCAUGCAUCAGAAUAUUUUUGUCCCAAAACGGACAACAGUGUGCUACUCCAAGUGUGGUCCACAGAUCACCAGCAUUGACAUCACCUUGGGACUUGUUAGAAAUGCAGAAUCCGGACUGGGCACAGUGGCUUA